AUUUGCAUCGUGUCAGAGUUCUGCUCUUCUUCAUCUUCUUCUUCGUCUUCUUCUUCAGACUUUGUGCAGUUUAGAUUUUACAUUUCUACAUUUUUAGACCUUUGUUCCUGAAGGUUUCUCCACCAACUCUUCGGUAUCCCUCCUGCUGCUGCUGACUGUAGAACUCAUCUCUCUAUUCUCAUUCAGAUCAACAUGAAGAUCUCUAUCUUUGCUGGUGUUCUGCUGCUCUCUGCUGCUCUCAUGGUCCUGGGACCAGAACCUGCAGAUGCUCAGUUUGUGAAUGCAAACUCGUUUGAAUAUAAGCAUAUCAACCCUAGGAUGAGUCCUGGCUCAUGUACCAAUGUGAUGUAUCGCAGAAUUAACAGACACAACAACAACUGUAAGCACAUCAAUACCUUCAUCAUAGGGACGCUUGAUGACGUCAGAACCGCCUGUAGGACCAAUAGAGGAAGAGGCUAUUUCAAUCUUGUUGUCUGCACCAGUGACCAACCCUUGCCUCCGUGUACUUAUACUGGUGUGCGUCAAUUUGGGCCAAUUCAAGUCCUUUGUGACAACUACCACAAUCCUUAUCACUUUGUAGAGUAAUAUGUUACUACCUGAUGAAUCAGAGUAAUCUGUUACUACCUGAUG